CAGGUUGAUGGAAGUUGGAAAGUCGGAAGCAGUAACCUGAUUGAACUUAGCCAAAGGGUCAAUGAUCUGGUCGGAGGGCUGGACGAAUUUGAUAUCAGCCAUGUUCCAAGGGAGUACAACACUGAAGCCGAUGAAGAAGCAAACAAGGCCGCCUACGGCUGAGGUGGGGUAAAGCUUUCAUGGAGUCUCCAUUAGCAGAGCAACAAUAACAGGAUUCACUUGUUAAUACCAUACUACUACUUUGUUAAUACUUCUCUAUCCCAUAUAGGGGCUGUUUGGUUGUCUGAAAA